rnacentral:rRNA from 1 species
GAUGAACGCUGACAGAAUGCUUAACACAUGCAAGUCUACUUGAAUUUGGGUUUUUUAACUUAGAUUUGGGUGGCGGACGGGUGAGUAACGCGUAAAGAACUUGCCUCACAGUUAGGGACAACAUUUGGAAACGAAUGCUAAUACCUGAUAUUAUGAAUAUAUGGCAUCAUAUAAUUAUGAAAGCUAUAAGCGCUGUGAGAGAGCUUUGCGUCCCAUUAGCUAGUUGGAGAGGUAACGGCUCACCAAGGCGAUGAUGGGUAGCCGGCCUGAGAGGGUGAACGGCCACAAGGGGACUGAGACACGGCCCUUACUCCUACGGGAGGCAGCAGUGGGGAAUAUUGGACAAUGGACCAAGAGUCUGAUCCAGCAAUUCGGUGUGCACGAUGACGUUUUUCGAAAUGUAAAGUGCUUUCAGUUGGGAAGAAAAAAAUGACGGUACCAACAGAAGAAGUGACGGCUAAAUACGU